CGUAACAAGGUUUCCGUAGGUGGACCUGCGGAAGGAUCAUUG
rnacentral:rRNA from 1 species